rnacentral:rRNA from 1 species
UACGUAGGGGGCGAGCGUUGUCCGGAUUUACUGGGCGUAAAGCGCACGUAGGCGGUUUGUUAAGUCAGGGGUGAAAUCCCGGAGCUCAACUCCGGAACUGCCUUUGAUACUGGCAAGCUAGAGUCCGGAAGAGGUAAGUGGAACUCCUAGUGUAGAGGUGGAAUUCGUAGAUAUUAGGAAGAACACCAGUGGCGAAGGCGGCUUACUGGUCCGGAACUGACGCUGAGGUGCGAAAGCGUGGGGAGCAAACAGG